CGCGUAGACGGCCCGUGCAACGUUAAUAUUUAACUAUCGCCCGCGAAAUUCUGCGGCUAUGAAGCACCAGAGACUUUGUCAUCGGUUCUCGCGCAGACGACUCGGACGUCCCGUGUGGUGGCCGUAUCAUACGCGCGUAAUAACACGUUAGGCCAUUUCGUGCAGGUCUGUUGUACAAUCAUUAUAUGUUUGUUCCCGAGGAUUAGAUUGGCCCGCCCGUUUGGACCGUGAAUUGACGAGCCGAGAAAAAUUAUCCGAAUCGAUUGUAUAACUAUACCUAUAGAUAGAAUGUUCGGUGAUAUCGCGUUCGUGCGUCAUUAUUGAGUUUUAUCUCGGAAUAAAACCGCUGUCGUCCGGCCUCCGUGAUCC